CGGUUGAUCCUGCCGGAGGUCAUCGCUAUUCGGUUUUGGCUAAGCCAUGCAAGUUAUGGGUUAAACCAUAGCAGAAAGCUCAGUAACACGUAGUCAACCUGCCCUUAGGUCCAUUAUAAUCUCGGGAAACUGAGGCUAACGGUGGAUAGGCGAUAAUACCUGGAAUGGUUUAUCGUUCAACUAAGGAUGGGACUGCGGCAGAUUAGUUUGUUGCCAGGGUAACGUCCUGACAAGGCGAUAAUCUGUACGGGCCUUGAGAGAGGAAGCCCGGAGAUGGAUUCUGAGACAAGAAUCCAGGCCCUACGGGGCGCAGCAGGCGCGAAAAUUUCCCAAUGCACGCAAGUGUGAGGAAGAGAACCGAAGCGCUUUCUCUUAGGAGAGAGCUUUUGUUAAGUCUAAACAGCUUGGCGAAUAAGGAGUGGGUAAGACGGGUGCCAGCCGCCGCGGUAAUACCCGCGCUCCAAGUGAUGACCACGAUUACUGGGUUUAAAGCGUUCGUAGCCGGUUUCGCAAGUCCCUGGUGAAAUCAAUCGGUUAACCGAUUGGCUUGCUGGGGAGACUUCGAGACUUGGAACCGGGAGAGGUCAAAGGUACUCCAGGGGUAAGGGUAAAAUCUUAUAAUCCUUGGGGGACCACCUGUGGCGAAGGCGUUUGACUAGAACGGAUUCGACGGUGAGGGACGAAAGCUAGGGGAGCAAACCGGAUUAGAUACCCGGGUAGUCCUAGCUGUAAACGAUGCCCACUAGACAUUGGCAAUCCUACGCGGGUUGCCAGAGUCGUANGGAAACCGAUAAGUGGGCCACCUGGGGAGUACGGUCGCAAGGCUGAAACUUAAAGGAAUUGGCGGGGGAGCAC
rnacentral:rRNA from 1 species